rnacentral:rRNA from 1 species
GACGAACGCUGGCGGCGUGCUUAACACAUGCAAGUCGAACGGAAAGGCCCUGCUUUUGUGGGGUGCUCGAGUGGCGAACGGGUGAGUAACACGUGAGUAACCUGCCCUUGACUUUGGGAUAACUUCAGGAAACUGGGGCUAAUACCGGAUAGGAGCUCCUGCUGCAUGGUGGGGGUUGGAAAGUCUCGGCGGUUGGGGAUGGACUCGCGGCUUAUCAGCUUGUUGGUGGGGUAGUGGCUUACCAAGGCUUUGACGGGUAGCCGGCCUGAGAGGGUGACCGGCCACAAUGGGACUGAGGUACGGCCCAGACUCCUACGGGAGGCAACAGUGGGGAAUAUUGGACAAUGGGCGGAAGCCUGAUGCAGCAACGCCGGGUGCGGGAAGACGGCCUUCGGGGUGUAAACCGCUUUCGCCUGUGACGAAGCGUGAGUGACGGUAAUGGGUAAAGAAGCACCGGCUAACUACGUG